rnacentral:ncRNA from 2 species
CGUGGUAUCGUCAGACAAGAUCCGUAUACGCGAUACGAGGUCAGGGAACCCGGUGAGAAUCCGGGACAGUCCCCGCUACUGUGUUCGGUGAGAACGUUGGCACAGGCCACCGCAAGGGAAGGCGCCAACCGACAAAGACCCGUAAGUCAGGAGACCUGCCCAAUCGCGAAACACCGU